AGCUGACAUAUAAUUAUUUUUUACAUAUUUUUUGCAUUUAAUCAUUUUGCAUAAAAGUAUGUGGCUUGAACAGGUACACCCUUUGCUGGGUGGGGAGCUGGCUGGAGGGCCAGGCCCAGAGAGUGGUGGUGAAUGGAGUUGGAUCCGGCUGGCGACCGGUCAUGGGUGGUGUUCCCCGGGGGUCGGUGCUGGGGCCUGUCCUCUUCAAUAUCUUUAUUGAUGACCUGGAUGAGGGCGUUGAGGGCACCCUCAGUAAGUUUGCAGACAACACCAAGCUGGCAGGAAGUGUUGAUCUGCCUGGGGGUGGAGAGGCCCUGCGGAGAGAUCUGGACAGGCUGGAUCUCUGGGCUGAAGCCAACGGGAUGAGGUUCAACAAGACCAGGUGCCGGGUCCUGCACUUUGGCCGCAACAACCCCAGGCAACGCUACAGGCUUGGGGCAGAGUGGCUCGAAAGUUGUAUGGAGGAAAUGGACCUAGGGGUAUUAGUCGACGCUCGGCUGAGCAUGAGCCAGCAGUGUGCCCAGGUGGCCGGGAGGGCCAAUGGCAUCCUGGCUUGUAUCAGAAAUAGCGUUGCCAGUAGGAGUAGGGAAGUCAUUGUCCCUCUGUACUCAGCCCUGGUGAGGCCCCACCUCGAGUACUGUGUCCAGUUUUGGGCCCCUCACUGCAAGAAAGACAUUGAGGCCCUGGAGCGUGUUCAGAGGAGGGCGACAAAGCUGGUGAGGGGUCUGGAGCACAGGCCUUAUGAGGAGCGGCUGAGGGAGCUGGGAUUGUUCAGUCUGGAGAAGAGGAGGCUCAGGGGAGACCUCAUCGCUCUCUAUAACUACCUGAAGGGAGGUUGUAGUGAGCUGGGGGUCAGCCUCUUCUCUCUUGUAACUAGUGACAGGACGAGGGGGAAUGGCUUCAAGUUGCACUGGGGAGAUUUAGUCUGGACAUUAGGAAAUACUACUUUUCUGAAAGAGUGGUCAGGUGCUGGAGCGGGCUGCCCAGGGAGGUGGUUGAGUCACCAUCCCUGGAGGUGUUCAAGAAACGUUUAGAUAUAGCGUUGGGAGACAUGGUUUAGUGGGGUUGUUGGUGGUAGGUGGAUGGUUGGACUAGGUGAUCUUGUAGGUCUUUUCCAGCCUAGCUAAUUCUAUGAUUCUAUGAUUCUAUGUAUAUUGCACAUACAUAAUAUUAUUACAAACUAUUUCUUGAUAGAAUGAUAGAUUUUUUUUUU
rnacentral:lncRNA from 1 species